GAAGUAUAUUGCAUCUUUUUUAGAACGACACUUAAAAAUAACUCACUUUCCAAGUUUAUCUGUGAUUUUUAUUUCACCAUAAAUUGAAGGGAGGAAGAAACAAACACUUCCCUCCCAGGACGCCCCAAUACACUUGUCCAGUUCUCUGGAUCUGAAGAAGAAGAGGGAGGCAGAGACAUGGCUUUACCAGUAGGGGCCGCUGUGCUGAGAAUUGAUUCCUGUGAGUUUCUCAUUAGUGAUUAUUAUAUUGCAGGCAGCCAAAAUGGAAAAAUUAAUUAAUUUCAAAGUGAUAAUGCAUUUACAGCAACAAUUAGAAAUGUGUAACUGUAAAAGGGCAACAUUUAAAAGACAGAUCACAUUUAAUAAAGUUGCACAAGAACAUCCAAUUGUAAAAUUACUGAUCUGCAACAAUAUUCCUUAAAGAGGCACUUAAAAUAGCCCGACUCCAUGAAGAGUGACCUAAUUACUGUAACUAAAAUCACCGUAGUCACAGCAAGUCACAGCAAAUAAAAAAGGGACGUUGAUAUUAGAAUACUGCUGUUUAAUACUUAAGGGAGCCAGCUACAGAGAAGAAAUGAAGGCAGGGCUUCCGAGCGCAAGUCUGGGUUGUAUUUCUUGCUCCCCUGACCUCAUGCAACAGAAUGUGUACUCCAGCAAUACCCGUGUCAGAAGGAAGCACCCUCUCUAAGGUAAAAGGCAGACAAGGCAGAGCACACUAGCCAUCUGGUGAUAGGGACAUUGCAUCUAUGCUAAGCUUCUCAAUCACAAUUAGAAACCCAGCCUUUACCUACGGAAGAAAUGGGAUGCAACUGCGUGGCUUAUAUCCAAAAAUAUGUCUGCAUUCAAAUAGCAGAAAUGCACCCUUUGUCCAAGAAACUGAUGCAUUAUCCUGACGGAAGCAAUGCCGAGCCACAUACGCAGGAUAGCCCAAGAGGGUGACUUUUCCAGUCAGUCUGGUCUAUCUUACUAGGAAAAUGACCAACCCGAGGUCUACAUUCACAGUGAUUCCUCUCCUAAAUACAGAGUCCUAAAUGUUUAUGAAAGAAAAGUGAAUGCCUGUGAAUUUGACAAGCAAGCUCAGAGCGCCAAUUCCACCUCUGCAUGAAGUGACGUAUUACUUUCAAUGGCAAAAACCUCAAUAACUUCUGUAUCAACCUAAUAUAGAGAACGCUGAUGGCUAAAAAAGUACUACCAAACGCUUAAAUAUAUAAAUACACUAGAGAGGAUUUUAGUAAGACUCUUAGCUACAUAUUCCACAGUCUUCGUCAUCUUCAUGCUUAUCUAAAGUCCAUUUGUGACAUAUAAAAGCUGCUAUUUUCUAAUCACUCAAGGUCAGAAACAAGAAAAGUCCACACCCUACGGCUUCCUCACAAAUGAGACGUGCAGGUUGGAGAUCACUGAACCAGGGUCCCUUCACCUGGACGCCCUUUCUACCUGGCCAGUAAACCUCUCCCUGAGUCUUUGGGGCCAGGGACAAAGCCCUUCUCUUCCCUUUCCAGACUCCCAAUUUGCAGACUCUUGUUCUGUCAGCAGAGAUUACAUUUUGGAGAAUCAUCAUCGGGACCAAGGCACUGCUCACAACGACAAGAGUAACAGCCAUCGUGGCAGGAAGUACUGCAUACCUCCCAUGCGAAAGGCACUGAGCUAGGCAUGUCAUUUGACCACGCUCUCCAGUAUGGCAGCCACUUGGCACACGUGGUGUUUUUCAGUUCGAAUUAACAAACAUGGAAUCAAAUUGAAAAUUCACUUCCUCAGUUCUAUUAGCCACAUUUUUAGAACUCAAUAGCCACAUGUGGCCCACGACUACCAUACUGGAGAGCCAGAUUAUAAUAACUGCAGAAAUUCUAUAUCCAUCAUUAUUGAUGUUAUAUGCAUUAUUGUCGGUCCUUACACUAACCUGUAUCACAAUUUUCAUCGUAAUGAGACAGGCUCAGAAAGCUGGUGACAUGUCUAAGUUGUUCCAGUGGUCAAGGGUAAGAGCUGAGCUUAGCCAUCAGCACCAUUAGCAGGAGAGCUGUGAGGUCCACUGUCCCAGGUUGCCACUUUCUUGUCUUGCCACCACCAGGAAGUCAUGUCAAAUCCCAUCUCAACUACAAGGGAAAUGCUCACGUCCAGUGCCCUUUCUAUGAGUGCCCCUCCACAGACAACUUCAACAAAACCUGGGAUUUUUGCGAUGUCACCACUUUUCUCCAAACCCUCUCAUGAGCUACACACUCAUUUUCCCACAGCUUUCUCACUCAGGGAUCUAAAGCUCAGUGCGCAGUUAAUCUUUUACCCAAGGCUGCUCCCAGAGGACAUUUGUUUCUCCCAAGCCUUGCCUUGCUAUAGGCAUUGAGGCCUGUUCACAAGUAGUCUCUGAGCUCUCCUGCCAGGGAAAUAGGAGAGACUGCAGUAGGGUGCGGCAGAGGCUGCUGCACACUGGUGGGGUAGGCAAAGGAGUUAGGCAUGGAGGUUGGGCAUCUGCUAUUACUAAGACACACUACAGGUACGGUGCUCACUGAGUUGCAACCUUCGUCCAAUUCAUUGUGCAUCCUCCCCGACAUGGUAGUCCCUCUGCCUCCAUUUCUAACCCCAUACUCUGGUUUUCCACUCAGCCCAAGUCCUGAGCACACGUACUCCCAAAACAGCUAACACUCCGAUAUCAUGAUACAGUCACCGAUCCAACUUAAUUUGCUGGUAUUUUUUAGAGAUACUCCCGUUAGGUCCAACCAGCCAACUUUCAAGUCUGACUUUAUUAAGCAUAUUAUAUUAAAUAUUAGAUAAUAAUCAACUCUUCUCCAAUAAAUAAAAAUGUUUACCCUGACUUUAUAUUUUAGCAGAACUUGCCUUCCUUCUUUUCCCACAUGCCCUGGCACAGAGUCCCUAAGCAAUGGGAUCAGGCCACAGAAUAACAGUUUCCACUAUUUUCUAUCAAUGACUCCUCAUCCAUUCGAGUCUACAACAAAUGGCAGGAUGGUUAUAUCACCCCUCACCAAAUUCCAUAGUCACAGACUCAUCUCUAAAGCUUUCCCAUCCCGUUCCUCUGAUUAGGGACCUUAUGGAAGAAGGAGAAAACGAACUCUCUGAUGCCACUGAACCGAGCUCCUUAAAACACAUCAAUGAUCAAAUACAAGUGAGAUGACUCAAGACCCAAAGAUUACAAAUGAUGGUUGACUGGGCUUGUUAAAGCGGAAGGCACUGGGCCAGCAGAAAAUAAGGAAGAAUCCACCUCUCUCCUCUCCCCAUUCCUAAAUGCCUCAUUUAAAUGGCACUGGCACCCAGUUCAGAUCCAUAUUCCUUCUUUUCAUGUAAACUGAAGGACACAACAAAGUAUGAGGCAUAACCAUGGUCAAAGAAACUUUCAUGAAGAGGCUGCGCUUAUGCAGUCAUCGGGAGCAAAGUGAUGGGGAGAUUUCAAAACCCUGUGAUCCACCUACAGGACUCGGUGACAUCCAAUUUCUAGUGUUAAAUGACAUAGCUGCUCUAAAGUCAUCAACAAAGCUGAUGGCCAGAAACGUCAUCAAGGAUACAGAAAUGAGACCUUGAAACGAAUUGUUGGCUGCCUUUUUUCUAGUACCCAAACCACAGGAAGAGUCUGACUUCCAAGCUUAAUUGUCUAAGGCAAUGGAACUCAGCAGGCAAUUUGAAAAUAUAUGACGGCCUUCUUCUGGUUGUCGUGAUGACUGCUGGUGAUGGUAGCAGGGAUGGCAGAUGUCUUGCAAUGCACAUGAUGUAUUGCUCAAUGAAGAAUGCCCCAGUGGACACUCAUGGAGAUGAAAAGCCUGUGGAUAAUUAUCUGAGCCUAGAAACAUCCACUGAAUUUCCAGAUGCCCUUUAUUGAGUUGAGAAAAUGCCACUUUGUUCCAAGUUUACUAAAAGUUUUCAUCAAGAAAGCGUGCUGGACCUUUUUAAAACAUGUUUUUAUGUAUGUAUUGAGAGGAUCUUUUAUUCUACUAUUAUGUUAUAUUAUAUUGACUGAUUUUUUAAUAUAAAACCAACCGUGAAUUGUUUGGAUAAAU
rnacentral:lncRNA from 1 species